UGAUAGCGUAGAAGCGUGAGGUUGCUGCCUGAUAUAAGGCAGGUUUUCCGUGGAGCGAAUGUCAAGUUAUAUAAACUGGCGACAA
rnacentral:ncRNA from 1 species